GACAGAGGGUGUAAACGUUGUUCGGAAUUACUGGGCGUAAAGCGCGUGUAGGUGGCGAGGCAAGUCGGGUGUGAAAGCCCUGGGCUCAACCCAGGAAGUGCACUCGAUACUGCCUAGCUAGAGUCCCGGAGAGGUUGGUGGAACUCUCGGUGUAGAGGUGAAAUUCGUAGAUAUCGAGAAGAACACCGGUGGCGAAGGCGGCCAACUGGACGGUGACUGACACUGAGACGCGAAAGCGUGGGGAGCAAACAGG
rnacentral:rRNA from 1 species